rnacentral:rRNA from 1 species
UACGUAGGGUGCAAGCGUUAAUCGGAAUUACUGGGCGUAAAGCGUGCGCAGGCGGUUAUGUAAGACAGAUGUGAAAUGCCCGGGCUUAACCUGGGAAUGGCAUUUGUGACUGCAUGGCUAGAGUGUGUCAGAGGGGGGUAGAAUUCCACGUGUAGCAGUGAAAUGCGUAGAGAUGUGGAGGAAUACCGAUGGCGAAGGCAGCCCCCUGGGAUAACACUGACGCUCAUGCACGAAAGCGUGGGGAGCAAACAGG